GACGAACGCUGGCGGCGUGCUUAACACAUGCAAGUCGAACGGAAAGGCCCUGCUUUUGUGGGAUGCUCGAGUGACGAACGGGUGAGUAACACGUGAGUAACCUGCCCUUGACUUUGGGAUAACUUCAGGAAACUGGGGCUAAUACCGGAUAGGAGCUCCUGCUGCAUGGUGGGGGUUGGAAAGUUUCGGCGGUUGGGGAUGGACUCGCGGCUUAUCAGCUUGUUGGUGGGGUAGUGGCUUACCAAGGCCUUGACGGGUAGCCGGCCUGAGAGGGUGACCGGCCACAUUGGGACUGAGAUACGGCCCAGACUCCUACGGGAGGCAGCAGUGGGGAAUAUUGCACAAUGGGCGGAAGCCUGAUGCAGCAACGCCGCGUGCGGGAUGACGGCCUUCGGGUUGUAAACCGCUUUCGCCUGUGACGAAGCGUGAGUGACGGUAAUGGGUAAAGAAGCACCGGCUAACUACGUG
rnacentral:rRNA from 1 species